UAGGCGGCGCGGGGCGCCCGGCAUGGAGCUCUCGGAGGCGCGGCAGGGUCUGGAGCUCGGUGGCACGGCGGCGGUGGCUGCCCCGAUUUCCUCCAGCUGCCACUCUUUGCUUCGUGUCCCCAGUCCCUAGACGCCUCUUCCCCUCCCGUGUCCCUCUUCCUAUGGAGUCCUUACGGACCGAACAGAUGCUGAGCUUGCCCGCCGAGGUCAGCAGCAACAACUUGGAGCCGGCGGAGCGAGGGGCAUCAGCGGCCCAAGUAGACAUGGGCCCCCACCGAGAGGCGGCUGCAGAGAGCCCGGCACCUCUACCGACGCGGGAGCCAGAGCAAGAGCAGUCUCCGGGAACCUCAACGCCGGAGAGCAAAGUCCUGCUCACGCAGGCAGACGCCUUGGCGUCCCGGGGGAGAAUCCGGGAAGCCCUCGAGGUGUAUAGACAGCUCUCCGAGCGGCAGCAGCUGGUGGCUGAGCAGCUGGAGCAGCUGGUGCGCUGCCUGGCGGAGAAAGUCCCGCAAGGCGAGGUGCUGGCGCCAGCGCCCCCGGGCGAGGGUAGCACUGCAAGCGGCGCCGUGGCGGCGGAAGAGAUUGGGGCCGCCGCAGCCGCGGCGGCCACCGAGGUGUGGGACGGCUUUAAGUGCCGGAAAUGUCAUGGGUUUCUAUCAGACCCCGUGUCCUUGUCGUGUGGCCACACCUUUUGUAAACUGUGCCUGGAACGUGGGCGGGCCGCCGACCGGCGCUGUGCGCUGUGCGGGGUCAAGCUCUCUGCGUUGAUGGUGGCCACUGGGCGGGCGCGUGGAUCCCGGCGGGCUGGGCAGCAGCCGCCGCCGCCGCUGCGAGUCAACGUGGUGCUCAGCGGCCUCCUCGGCAAGUUGUUCCCAGGCCCGGCGCGGGCGUCGCAACUCCGGCACGAGGGCAACCGGCUGUACCGCGAGCGCCAGGUGGAGGCGGCGCUGCUCAAGUACAACGAGGCAGUUAAGUUGGCCCCGAAUGACCACUUGCUUUAUAGCAAUCGGUCUCAGAUUUAUUUCACCUUGGAGUCUCAUGAGAACGCACUGCAUGAUGCAGAAAUAGCAUGUAAGCUCCGCCCGAUGGGUUUUAAGGCACAUUUCAGAAAAGCCCAAGCCUUAGCCACCCUAGGCAAGGUGGAGGAGGCACUAAGGGAGUUUCUCUACUGUGUAUCCCUUGAUGGAAAGAACAAGAGAGCAAGAUGUGAAGCCCAAAGAGACAAUCUGGAGCUCCCACAUUGUUCUAGUCAGGAGGAAGCAGCAGCCAGGGGAGAUGGCAGCAGUCUGAUGGAUCCAGCUAAAGUGAAGGGGGAUGGUCAGCAGCACCACAUGAAAGACCAGGAAGAAGAGGAGGAGAAGUGGGAUGCUACCUCUCCAAAAGCUGCUUCCAGCAAGACAGGAAAAUGCCAGGAAAAGAAAAGGAAACAUUGCCAAAUUGAAUCCCAAGAAGACACAGGGAUGCCUAAUAAAGCCUCCAAGCAAGAUCCUCCCACUGAUCAGGGGGACAAACCUGCUCUCAGUUUACCACUUGCAUCUUUCGACGCGUCUGACCUUGAAUGCGCUCUAUGUAUGAGAUUAUUCUAUGAGCCAGUCACAACACCUUGUGGGCAUACUUUUUGCUUAAAAUGCCUAGAAAGAUGCCUAGAUCACAACGCCAAGUGUCCAUUGUGCAAAGACGGUCUUUCACAGUGCUUGGCAUCAAGAAAAUACGGCAAAAAUGUAAUAAUGGAGGAGCUCAUAGCUAAAUUCCUUCCAGAAGAACUGAAGGAACGAAGGAAGCUUUACGAAGAGGAAAUGGAAGAACUUUCUAACCUUAAUAAGAAUGUGCCUAUUUUCGUGUGUACUAUGGCCUAUCCCACCGUUCCUUGUCCCCUGCACAUCUUUGAGCCUUGUUACCGCCUGAUGAUUCGUAGAUGCAUUGAGACAGGCACGAGACAGUUUGGCAUGUGCCUUGGAGAUCCUGUCAAAGGGCACUGCCUGUUGUAUACUUGAAACUAUAACCCAGGGACAGGAAAAUAGGCAGAAGUCCCUUGAGCCACAGCAUGGGGUUACAGAAAUGGCUGGGUGCCAGGCCAGGGAAACAGAACUCAUCAAGGAUCUAUUCUCUCGACUCCAUUCUCAAUAAACAGGUUUGCAGAAUAUGGCUGCAUCCUAGAGAUCAGAAAUGUUCAAUUCUUUGCCGAUGGCCGCUCAGUGGUUGACAGCAUAGGAAAGAGGCGCUUCAGGGUGCUCCAUCAGAGCCAGCGGGAUGGCUACAACACAGCCGACAUUGAAUACAUUGAAGACCAAAAGGUUCAGGGAGAGGAUUGUGCUGAGCUCAUGGGAUUACAUAACUGUGUCUAUCAGCAAGCGUCAUUGUGGUUUCAUUCACUCAAAUCAUCCCUAAAGAAUCGGAUACUCAAUCACUUUGGUCCCAUGCCGGAGAAAGACGCUGAUCCUCAGAUGAACCCGAAUGGCCCAGCCUGGUGCUGGUGGAUGUUAGCGGUUCUUCCCUUGGAAAGCCGAGCUCAGCUCCCCUUCCUAGCAAUGAGGUCCUUAAAGGACAGACUGAAUGGUAUUCGACGAGUCCUGGCCUUCAUAUCCCGAAACCAAAACUAGUGAGUGGAUUGCUGAAGAGGAGCUCCCACCUUCCCCACUGCCGUUGGGGGGAGUCUUGUAAAUAUAUCUAAUUGCAAUAAUAUCUUAACAGAAGGGAGUGUCAAACAGAGGCGUGAGCCUGCUGUUGAUCACAGAGAGAAAUUGAGUAGAAAGACCAAAAGAAUGUGACCUAUUUGAAACUUUCUGUCUUAAGAUGCUUCUUGACAUGCUGCGUAACUACAUAAACAGCAGAGGUAUUUAAGAGCCCAGAAAAACAUAAUUUGAUUUUAACAUUAAAAUUUCCAAAAGUUUAAA